rnacentral:rRNA from 1 species
UACAGAGGGUGCAAGCGUUAAUCGGAAUUACUGGGCGUAAAGCGUGCGUAGACGGUUAUGUAAGUCGGGUGUGAAAGCCCCGGGCUCAACCUGGGAAUUGCAUUCGAGACUGCAUAGCUAGGGUGCGGAAGAGGGAAGCGGAAUUUCCGGUGUAGCGGUGAAAUGCGUAGAUAUCGGAAGGAACACCAGUGGCGAAGGCGGCUACCUGGACCAGCACUGACACUGAGGCACGAAAGCGUGGGGAGCAAACAGG